rnacentral:rRNA from 1 species
CUUACCAUGCAGUCGAGCGGUAAGGCCCUUCGGGGUACACGAGCGGCGAACGGGUGAGUAACACGUGAGCAAUCUGCCCCCCACUCUGGGAUAACCCCCGGAAACGGGAGCUAAUACCGGAUACGACCACUUCAGACAUCUGAUGGUGGUGGAAAGUUCCGGCGGUGGGGGAUGAGCUCGCGGCCUAUCAGCUUGUUGGUGGGGUAACGGCCCACCAAGGCUUCGACGGGUAGCCGGCCUGAGAGGGUGACCGGCCACACUGGGACUGAGACACGGCCCAGACUCCUACGGGAGGCAGCAGUGGGGAAUAUUGGACAAUGGGCGAAAGCCUGAUCCAGCAACGCCGCGUGAGGGAUGACGGCCUUCGGGUUGUAAACCUCUUUCAGCGCAGACGAAGCGAAAGUGACGGUAUGCGCAGAAGAAGCACCGGCCAACUACGUGCCAGCAGCCGCGGUAAUACGUAGGGUGCGAGCGUUGUCCGGAAUUAUUGGGCGUAAAGGGCUCGUAGGCGGUUUGUCGCGUCAGGAGUGAAAACUCGGGGCUCAACCCCGAGCCUGCUUCUGAUACGGGCAGACUAGAGGUAUGCAGGGGAGAACGGAAUUCCUGGUGUAGCGGUGAAAUGCGCAGAUAUCAGGAGGAACACCGGUGGCGAAGGCGGUUCUCUGGGCAUUACCUGACGCUGAGGAGCGAAAGUGUGGGGAGCGAACAGGAUUAGAUACCCUGGUAGUCCACACCGUAAACGUUGGGCGCUAGGUGUGGGACUCAUUCCACGAGUUCCGUGCCGCAGCUAACGCAUUAAGCGCCCCGCCUGGGGAGUACGGCCGCAAGGCUAAAACUCAAAUGAAUUGGCGGUGGUCCGCACACGCGGCGGAGCAUGCGGAUUAAUUUAAUGCAACGCGAAGAUCGUUACCUAGGUUUGACAUAUGCGAGAAUCCUCUGAAGGCAGAGGCCUCUGUGGACACUGGCAUGCAGUUGGUGCAUAGCUGUCGUCGGCUCGUGUCGUGAUAUGUUGGGUUAAGUACAACAACGAGCGCAACCCUCGUCUUAUGUUGCCAGCACGAAUGGGGGGGACUCAUAAGAGACUGACGGGGUCAACUCGGAGGAAGGUGGGGAGGGCGUGAGGUCAUCAUGCCCCUUAGGCGUAGGGCUUGACGCAUGCUACAAAGAACCGGUACAAAGGGGUGGGAAAGCGCAAGGGGGAGCGAAUCCCAAAAAGCCGGUCUCAGUUCGGAUUGGGGUCUGCAACUCGACCCCAUGAAGUCGGAGUCGGUAGUAAUCGCAGAUCAGCAACGAUGCGGAGAAUACGUUCCCGGGCCUUGUACACACCGCCCGUCACGUCACGAAAGUUGGCAACACCCGAAGCCAGGGCCCAAACCCUUG